GACGAACCGUCCAAACGUUAUUCGGAAUCACUGGGCUUACAGAGUUCGUAGGCGGUCCGGAAAGUUGGGUGUGAAAUCCCUCGGCCUAACCGAGGAACUGCGCUUGAAACUACCAGACUCGAGGGAGAUAGAGGAAAGCGGAACUGAUGGUGGAGCGGUGAAAUGCGUUGAUAUCAGGAAGAACACCCGUGGCUAAGGCGGCUCUCUAGUACGGUACUGACGCUGAGACGCGAAAGCGUGGGGAGCGAACAGG
rnacentral:rRNA from 1 species